CCAUAGCUUGUCUCAAAGAUUAAGCCAUGCAUGUCUAAGUAUAAGCACUUUAUACUGUGAAACUGCGAAUGGCUCAUUAAAUCAGUUAUCGUUUAUUUGAUAGUACCUUACUACAUGGAUACCUGUGGUAAUUCUAGAGCUAAUACAUGCUGAAAACCUCGACUUCGGAAGGGGUGUAUUUAUUAGAUAAAAAACCAAUGCCCUUCGGGGCUCCUUGGUGAAUCAUAAUAACUUAACGAAUCGCAUGGCCUUGCGCCGGCGAUGGUUCAUUCAAAUUUCUGCCCUAUCAACUUUCGAUGGUAGGAUAGUGGCCUACCAUGGUGGCAACGGGUAACGGGGAAUUAGGGUUCGAUUCCGGAGAGGGAGCCUGAGAAACGGCUACCACAUCCAAGGAAGGCAGCAGGCGCGCAAAUUACCCAAUCCCGACACGGGGAGGUAGUGACAAUAAAUACUGAUACGGGGCUCUUUUGGGUCUCGUAAUUGGAAUGAGUACAAUCUAAAUGAUAAUGAGGAAACCC
rnacentral:rRNA from 1 species